rnacentral:rRNA from 1 species
CGAACGCUGGCGGCGCGUUUAAGCAUGCAAGUCGAGCGGCAAGGGCCUUCGGGCCCGUAGAGCGGCGGACGGGUGAGUAACACGUGGACAAUCUGCCCCCCGGCCCGGGAUAGCCCAGGGAAACCUGGAUUAAUACCGGAUGAGACGGGACCCGCGAUGGCGGGAUCCGGGAAAGGCGCUGCGGCGCCGCCGGGGGAUGAGUCUGCGUCCCAUUAGCUAGACGGCGGGGUAACGGCCCACCGUGGCGACGAUGGGUAGCCGGCCUGAGAGGGUGGACGGCCACAUUGGAACUGAGACACGGUCCAGACUCCUACGGGAGGCAGCAGCUAAGAAUCUUCCGCAAUGGGCGAAGGCCUGACGGAGCCGGACGCCGCGUGAACGAAGAAGGCCGUGAGGGUUGUAAAGUUCUUUUCGGGAGGGGGAACAACCGUGGCAGGGAAUGGCCGCGGGAUGACGUGAAUCCCGGAAUAAGCCCCGGCUAACUACGUGCCAGCCGCAGC